ensembl:lncRNA
CAAGAUGACUUCAUACACGUGGAUUUUACUCAUUCUGGCAAGUCUUGUGGCAACAAAAGCGCAAGAUUUUGACCUCAGUGAUGCUUUUUAUGAGGCUGACAAGCCCCCUCCGAAGCCAACAGUGAAACCAGCCCCACCGAAAAACCCAGAUUCAGGAUUUGAUAUUUCAGAUGCCUUCAAUUUGGAUAAAAAUAAACCAUCUGGAGUUGACCUCGAUCUGUCUAUUGCAUUUGCUCCAGAUUUGGACCUCACUGAUGUUUUGGAUGAUACUGACAAGCAUAAAAAUAAACCAUCUGGAGUUGACCUCGAUCGGUCUAUUGCAUUUGAUACAGAUUUGGACCUCGCUGAUGUUUUGGAUGGUGCUGACAAGCAGGGUAGGGGAGCACAGGGUGGUGAGGAGACUCUCAGCGCAGAGUCUGCAGCGGCUAUGGAGUGUCAGAAGGUCCACAGCAUGAGUGCACCCCGACCGCAUGGCACGGGUGGAAGUGGCCACGUGCUGACUGAGGGUGUCCUUCAGACACAGAGAGAUACAACUGAUGCAAUUACAGUCAUAGCAGAUGAGCUUAAGCAAAUAAAGGUUGUGUUGUGUGACAUUGCAUCUACAUUAAAAGAUCUUGUUAAAAAAUGA